CGGUGAGAUGGAGGAGAGGCUGCGGACGGUUAUUUUUGAUUUCUAUUUCUCAGCCUGCCCCCUCCCCUCAUCGUCCUUUAUAAUCUGCGUUGUCGCCUGAAGCGGAGGGAAGGGGGUAAAAAAAAAACGGAGAGACGAGGGCGAGAAAAGAGCAGAGCAGGAGUGAAGUGAAUAGAAGUGUGUGUUUGUCUGUGUGAGAGAAAAGAUAAACGACAGAGGGACACGAGGGCGGCAUUGGCACCUUGGAGCCGGGAUCUUUUUACUCUCCUUCGGAGUCGGGGUUUUUUAAUUCCCUCGGAUGGAGGAUAACAAGUACUUACCCGAGCUGAUGGCCGAGAAGGACAGUCUGGACCCUUCUUUCAUCCAUGCCACCAGGCUGGUGACAGCAGAAAUAACCAAAAUAGAAGCAGGGGAGGGAAGCGAUGAAGAGAAGUUUGUGGAUGUGGUCAGUAACAAAAACAUGAAGUUGGCUCAAAAAGUAUUAAUUCCUGUAAAGCAAUUCCCUAAGUUUAACUUUGUCGGUAAACUGUUGGGCCCACGUGGUAAUUCUUUGAAGAGGUUGCAGGAAGAAACGUUGACAAAAAUGUCCAUUUUAGGUAAAGGAUCCAUGCGAGACAAAGCAAAGGAAGAAGAGCUAAGAAAAAGUGGAGAAUCAAAAUAUGCACAUCUUAAUGAAGAUCUGCAUGUACUUAUUGAAGUAUUUGCUCCACCAUCAGAGGCAUAUGCAAGAAUGGGACAUGCUCUAGAGGAAGUGAAGAAGUUUCUCAUACCGGAUUACAAUGAUGAAAUUAGACAACAACAGCUUCAAGAAUUGUCCUACUUAAAUGGUACACCAGAGAGUCCAGAAACUCCAGCAGUUCGAGGGAAGCCAGUAAGGGGGCGAGGGACACUUGCGCCAGCUCUAAGCAGAGGUCGUGGUGGAGUUCCUCCCCCAGCAUCCACAGUUCCACGUGCAGGACCUGUUCCCAGAGGAGCGCCACCUGGUCGAGGUCCGGGAGCUAGGGGACGUGGGGUUCCAGCACCAAGAGCAAGAGGAGCACCAGGUUAUAGACCUCCGCCACCCCCAGUACAAGACACAUCAUAUGGUGAAUAUGCAUAUGGUGAUGGCUAUGGAGCAACCUAUGAAGACCAAGGUUAUGACUCUUACGAUAACAACUACAGCAGUCAAGGCCAGAGUGCUUCUGAUUACUAUGAUUAUGGCCAUGGAACCAGCCAGGAGACAUAUGAAUCAUAUGGUCAGGAAGAGUGGACGAACUCCAACUCACGGAUGAAAGCUCCUCCAGCAAGAGCACCUAAAGGAGCAUACAGGGAACACCCCUAUGCACCCCGAUACUGAUUCUUCCAUCUAUUCUGUGAAAUACAAUCAUCAGUUAGCUGUUUCUGCAGUGAUGUACGCUGUUAAAAGAUCUUUUCUCACAUCUAUGGCCAAAAUGGGAAUGAAGUGAUCCUGGAACUAGGCAUUAUGAAAAGAUGGCAUUUUCAUAGAGGGACAGAAACUUCUCUCUUCCUGAUUGACAGGCGGGGACACAGCUGAGGAGCAAAAUUUCAGGACAUUACAUAGAAGUCUAAAAUGUUCAUGGUACUUGAGAAUUUUGUCAGAGCAGAAAAGCUGAAGAACAAAGACUGCACUCCUCAGAGGAACAAAUUCUCCUGUUGAGCAAACAAGUAUACAAGAAUUUACAAAGGAAUUUAAAUAUUAAUGAGGCUAACGUGUCAGCCAUGCUUCAGAGCCUAAUCAUCUAUUGUGAGAUGAGAUGCAAGUUGCAGGUCACCGUUGGCUGGAGUUGACAUUAAUAUAAAAUAACAGUGCUCUAGUGUAGGGAAGCUGAGACCCUUGGUGGAACAAACUGGAGACUGGGCUAAGUUGGUGAGCACAUUGGAGCACUCUCAUUGAGUGUUCUUACCCGAGUGCAAGGGUGAGAAUCUGGAGAAUUGAACCUCGCAGAUAACCAUGGAUUCUAACCACUGUGAUUUGAAAACUCGUGGGGAUGCAAAUGCAAGAAAGGACAAGAGGAUUAUGAGGCAGGCAUCACUAAAGCUAGGCCCUAUCUCUCUUUUGAGAUUCUGCCAUUUUAUAAGCACAGAAUAUUUGAGACCUCCUCUUCAAAAACCUGCAUCCUUCUCAGAAAAUUUGGCAUUUGCUUCUCCCCAGCAAGCCUUUCAGUAAUUGAUUAGACAGCCCAGAGAGAAUUGUUCUUCCUUUUCCAAUAUUUGGCCAUGCUACUUGCUUUGCAUUUUGAUGUUAGGACAUCCUCCCCAUUGGGAGAAGUCCACUCAAUAUUACUGUUUUGGAUUUGAGUAUUGUUGGGCAAUUUGUUAUAAUAUCACAUCACAACAGAAAUGUUUUCUUUUCCCUUGCUUCAUAAAAUAUUAAAAUAUUAUAAUAUGUAUAAAAUUGAAGUACAAUGUAUAUACUCCCCAUU